rnacentral:rRNA from 1 species
CCUACGGGAGGCAGCAGUGGGGAAUAUUGCGCAAUGGGCGAAAGCCUGACGCAGCGACGCCGCGUGAGGGAUGAAGGUCUUCGGAUCGUAAACCUCUGUCAGCAGGGAAGAACGGUCACUGUGCUAAUCAGCAGUGAAUUGCCGGUACCUGCAAAGGAAGCACCGGCUAACUCCGUGCCCGCAGCCGCGGUAAUACGGAGGGUGCGAGCGUUAAUCGGAGUUACUGGGCGUAAAGCGCUCGUAGGCGGUAUGUCAAGUCAAGGGUGAAAUGCUCGCGCUCAACGUGGGAACUGCCUUUGAAACUGGCGAGCUGGAGUGUGGGAGAGGCUAGUGGAAUUCCAGGUGUAGGAGUGAAAUGCGUAGAUAUCAGGAGGAACAUCAGUGGCGAAGGCGACUAUCUGGCACAUAACUGACGCUGAGGAGCGAAAGCGUGGGUAGCAAACAGGAUUAGAUACCCCUGUAGUC